AUUGAACGCUGGCGGCAGGCCUAACACAUGCAAGUCGAGCGGAUGAAGGGAGCUUGCUCCUGGAUUCAGCGGCGGACGGGUGAGUAAUGCCUAGGAAUCUGCCUGGUAGUGGGGUAUAACGUCCGGAAACGGGCGCUAAUACCGCAUACGUCCUGAGGGAGAAAGUGGGGGAUCUUCGGACCUCACGCUCUCAGAUGAGCCUAGGUCGGAUUAGCUAGUUGGUGGGGUAAAGGCCUACCAAGGCGACGAUCCGUAACUGGUCUGAGAGGAUGAUCAGUCACACUGGAACUGAGACACGGUCCAGACUCCUACGGGAGGCAGCAGUGGGGAAUAUUGGACAAUGGGCGAAAGCCUGAUCCAGCCAUGCCGCGUGUGUGAAGAAGGUCUUCGGAUUGUAAAGCACUUUAAGUGGGGAGGAAGGGCAGUAAGUUAAUACCUUGCUGUUUUGACGUUACCAACAGAAGAAGCACCGGCUAACUUCGUG
rnacentral:rRNA from 1 species